GAUGAACGCUGACGGCGUGCCUAAUACAUGCAAGUCGAGCGAACGGACGAGAAGCUUGCUUCUCUGAUGUUAGCGGCGGACGGGUGAGUAACACGUGGAUAACCUACCUAUAAGACUGGGAUAACUUCGGGAAACCGGAGCUAAUACCGGAUAAUAUUUUGAACCGCAUGGUUCAAAAGUGAAAGACGGUCUUGCUGUCACUUAUAGAUGGAUCCCGGCUGCAUUAGCUAGUUGGUAAGGUAACGGCUUACCAAGGCAACGAUGCAUAGCCGACCUGAGAGAGUGAUCGGCCACCCGGGAAGUGAGACACGGACAAGACUCCUACGGGAGGCAGCAGUAGGGAAUCUUCCGCAAUGGGCGAGAGCAUUACGGAGCAACGCCGCGUGAGUGAUGGCGGUCUUGGGAGCGUAAAACUCUGUUAUUAGGGAAGAACAUAUGUGUAAGUAACUGUGCACAUCUUGACGGUACCUAAUCAGAAAGCCACGGCUAACUACGUG
rnacentral:rRNA from 1 species